rnacentral:lncRNA from 1 species
CUUGCAAUUGCUGCUACCAUCUGUCUUUAUAUUGCCAGUUCUUAUUACUCUGCCUGUUAUGUGCUUAUCCACCGUGCUAGGUGUUGGGUGUAAGGAUGUAGUGCAGCCCUGCUGAUACACCGUUCCUGGCCUCCAGAAUGAUCAUCAGCCUCCAUCACAGAACCUGGCACAGAUUCCAGUGGAUUAGUGAAUAUGGAGCAGGAGCCGGAACCCCCCAGAGAGAUGUGAGCAAAGAAAGGAGCACAUUACAGCAUGGAAAGGGUUAGGAGCAGGCAGAAGCAUACUUACCUCAGCAGUAACUCUGAGCUUCUGCAGAGCAGUCUCAAUGUAAUUCAACCCUGCUUAAUAAAUAUUAACUGAUUGGAUCUAUAAAUGAAUGAAGAGUCCAGCUCAAUUCAAAUCACCAAUCAUUCUCUGAGAGAUGUUCCAGCCGUGUCAUCAGGUUCACAUUCCAGCCACCAGAAAGGAGCACACCUUCUUCCUUUAAAAGCAAGCUUCCCGCCCUCGCAUCUUGUUGAUGGGAAUGGCUACAUGCAAUGCAGUGUAUACAUAUUCAGCAAUAAAAAGAAAUGAAGUACUGAUAUAUGCUCUCACAUGGAUGAACAUUGAAAACAUUAUGCUAAAUAAAAGGAGCCAGUUACACCCA